rnacentral:rRNA from 1 species
AUUGACCGCUGGCGGCAGGCCUAACACAUGCAAGUCGAACGAGUGGCGGACGGGUGAGUAAUUUCUUGGAAACUGCCUGAUGGAGGUGGAUAACUACUGGCAACGGUAGCUAAUACCGCAUACCAUCAGAUGUGCCCAUAUGGUAUUAGCGAGUUGGUGGGGUAACGUCUCACCAAGGCGACGAUCCCUAGCUGGUCUGAGCGGAUGACCAGCCAGACUGGAACUGAGACACGGUACAGACUCCUACGGGAGGCAGCAGUUGGGAAUAUUGCACAAUGGGCGCAAGCCUGAUGCAGCCAGGCCGCGUGUAUGAAGAAGGCCUUCGGGUUGUAAAGUACUUUCAGCGGGGAGGCGUUACCCGCAGAAGAAGCACCGGCUAACUCCGUGCCAGCAGCCGCGGUAAUUC